AUGAGAGUGCCAAAGUGGUUUGGAAAUGUCUCAGUUGUCUCAAACCUGUGUGAAGCUUUUACAGAGGGAAUUCAGUUGAUAUGUAAACACAUUUCCCUUCACAGGCCAAGCCAGAUCCCCUGUCAGGAGGAUCGUGUUGUCGGGUUGUCAGAUUGCUCCCAGGGAUGGAUUCUGCAGACUAGAAAAACACUUCUUCAGGAGAUGACAUCACUCCGAGGGUCAGGCGGGCUGAUUUAUGGUUGGCCAAUGGUGCCUGGAAAAGGUAACACACACACACACACACCGUAUUUUAAUUACACACUGCUCCAGGUUUCUCAGGCCGUUGGUCUUUGCCAUCAUUCCUAAUUAAUGAGUUAAGUGCUACAGAUGUAAAGUGGUGUAAAGUACUUAAGUAAAAAUACUUUAAAUUACUACUUAAGUAGUUAUUUGGGGUAUUUGUACUUUACUAUUUACAUUUUUGACAACAUUUCCUUUUACUUCACUACAUUCCUAAAGAAAAUAAUGUACUUGUUACACCAUACAUUUUGCCUGACACACAAAAGAAUGUGUUACAUUUUGAAUUCUUAGCAGGACAGGAAGGUGGUCCAAAGGGUGACACAUAUAUCGAGAGAACAUCCGAUAGUGCCAAUAGUGUGCAAAGCUGUCAUCAAGGCAAAGGGUGACCACUUUGAAGAAUCUAAAAUCUAUUUUGAUUUGAUUCACACUUUUUUUGGUUACUACAUGAUUCCAUAUGUGGUAUUUCAUAGUUUUGAUGUCUUCACUAUUAUUGGAACCCUGAAAUUAGUAGGUGAGUCCAAACUUUUGACUGGUACUGUACAUAUACAGUGCAUUCGGGAAGUAUUCAAAACCCUUACAUAAGUAUUUAGACCCUUUACUUAGAACAUUGUUGAAGUGCCUUUGGCAGCGAUUACAGCCUCGAGUCUCCUUGGGUAUGACACUACAAGCUUGACACACCUGUAUUUGAGGACUUUCUCCCAUUCUUCUCUGCAGAUCCUCUCAAGCUCUGUCAGGUUGGAUGGGGAGCGUUGCUGCACAGCUAUUUUGAGGUCUGUUCAGAGAUGUUCGAUUGGGUUCAAGUCCGGACUCUGGCUGUCGCUCCUGCGUUGUCUUGGCUGUGUGCUUAGGGUCGUUGUUCUGUUGGAAGGUGAACAUUCACCCCAGUCAGGUCCUGAGCGCUCUGGAGUAGAUUUUCAUCAAGGAUCUCUUUGUACUUUGCUCCGUUCCAUCGAUCUUGAUUAGUCUCCCAGUCACUGCCGCUGAAAAAUAUCCCCACAGCAUGAUGCUGCCUCCUCCAUGCUUCACCUUAGGAUUUGUGCCAGGUUUCCU
rnacentral:lncRNA from 1 species